rnacentral:tRNA from 1 species
GAUAGGUGCAGAGACUCAAUGGAAGCUGUUCUAACAAAUGGAGUUGACUGCCUUGCCUUGUUAUAAAAAUGAAUCUUCCAAAAAGGAUGAAGAAGAAAGAUAUAUACAGAUGUAUACGUACUGAAAAGUUCAAUACUAUAUAUAUAACUGUAUCGAAAAAAAUGAAUGAUGACCCGAAUACAUUUGUUUUUAUAUGAAUAGGAAAAAAUGGAAGAAUUUUUGUAAUGGACUCGAAGUUGAAGAAAGAAUCGAAUAUUCAUUUAUGAAAUCAAAAUGAAACCAUUUAUUCCGCAGUCUGAUAGAUCUUUUGAAGAACCGAUCAAUCGGAUGAGAAUGAAGAUAGAGUCCCAUUCUACAUGUCAAUACCGACAAGAAUGAAAUUUAUAGUAAGAGG